rnacentral:rRNA from 1 species
GACGAACGCUGGCGGCGUGCUUAACACAUGCAAGUCGAACGGUGAAGCGCCUUCCUUUUUGGUGGGUGUGGAUGAGUGGCGAACGGGUGAGUAACACGUGAGUAACCUGCUCCCUUCUUCUGGAUAACCGCAUGAAAGUGUGGCUAAUACGGGAUAUUAUGGGUCUGUCGCAUGAUGGGUCUGGGAAAGAUAUUGUUUUGGUGGGGGAUGGGCUCGCGGCCUAUCAGCUUGGUGGUGGGGUGAUGGCCUACCAAGGCGGUGUAGGGUAGCCGGCCUGAGAGGGUGGACGGCCACAGUGGGACGGAGACACGGCCCAGACUCCUACGGGAGGCAGCAGUGGGUAAUAUAGCACAAUGGGCAGAAGCCUGAUGCAGCGACGCCUCGUGAGAGAUGGAGGCCUUCUGGUUGUGAACCUCUUUCGCCAGUGAAGCAGGCCUGCCUCGUCUGUGGGUGGGUUGACGGUAGCUGGAUAAGAAGCGCCGGCUAACUACGUG